UGAACUUCUCCUCUCUCCCAGGAGCAAUGAGGUGCUACAAGUAACUCCUCCCUUGACCCUUCCUUGGUGUUGACUCAGCCCAGUGGAGAGCUGAGCUUUGGUCCCCACCUGGCAGCAGCAAUGGGGCAGAAUAAAGCCAUGCAAGGUGGUACAACGUAAUGCUGGGUGGCUGUCUGCUUCCCCUCAUCGCGGGGUGUCAGUGGAGGGACCAAUAGGGGCUGAACUUUUACCUUAAUGCAACAAUAAUGAAGUAAAAUGAGCAGAGUGAGGCUGUGAGAGUCAGCACUUUGCUUCCAUCCACCUCCACUGGUGUUGGCGAAAAAAGAGGGAAAUGGAGCUUUUCCCCACACUUGGCAGCAAAGGAGCAGAAUGAGACAACAAGAGGAGGUGGUGCUACUCACAGCUCACUCAGAAGGAGUGGAAGUCGCACUGUCACACAGCAACAGCAAGGCUGAAUGAGCAGUUUGUUGAUGGACAACUUUUUAAAGUUUGAUACACAGUUUGAGGUGAUUUCGUUUGUACUUCAAGUUUGAGGAUCUUCAUAUUUAUAUCAGCCAUACCACACCAAGAAAAGUAUUUUGACAUUUUAUUUGCUUGCAAGAGCUCUUACUGAUUUGGGGCAAAACGGAUGGGUUACAGUAGGCAGAUACAGGCAACUGAAAAUGAUAGAGUCUACAAAACUAUGAGUCUUAAACAUAUGUUCAUGCAUAUAUUCAAAGCCAGUUUAUUCUUGCAAUUUCUUCUUUGUCCUGAGUAAUAUAUGAUUUUUGUGCUGUUUUUUAGUUUUUUUUCUCUUGUAAGUCAACUUCUGAUGCACAAUUCUUUGAAAUAUACGACAUAUUAGAACAAAUUUCAAAAGAGCCCUGUGUGACAUGCCAGAGCCAUGGAGCCUGAUUAGAACUGGAGUUGGAAUCAUUUGUGGCACUGGAUAUAAUUUAAGACACCAUGUUGUUCCUUAGGAGGAAGCCUUAUUUAUAACAGCAGUACCAUGCUGCACAACAGAUGCCAGUGGAAAGUGAAACGAUGAUGAAAUUAAUUUGACCUUUCUUAAGCCUGCAGAACAUAAAUCAGAUCUAUUUAAUAAAGAUCAAGUUUGCAAGAAAUAACUUCAACUGCAGAUGUGUAAAUGCUUCAAUGAAAGAAAUGAUGGCAACAUUUGUACAGUUCUGAAUAUAGUUU
rnacentral:lncRNA from 10 species